UACGAAGGAUCCAAGCGUUAUCCGGAUUCAUUGGGUUUAAAGGGUGCGUAGGCGGUUUUGUAAGUCAGGGGUGAAAUCUCCCGGCUCAACCGGGAAGCUGCCAUUGAUACUGCAGAACUAGAGUACAGAUGACGUUGGCGGAAUGUGUCAUGUAGCGGUGAAAUGCAUAGAUAUGACACAGAACACCGAUUGCGAAGGCAGCUGACGAAACUGCAACUGACGCUGAUGCACGAAAGUGCGGGGAUCAAACAGG
rnacentral:rRNA from 1 species